CGCCGCCGCCUCCCAUCCUCCGACCACGUCUGCUUCUCCUCCGGCCGGGCGCCGCCCUGCUCCUCCUCCUGGACUUUCUUUCUCCAGUGGUGAUCUUUGAACGCCACCAAAGUAUAUGCUUCAAGAUUGAGGGUGGGGUGUCGCAGGGCUUCUUGCAGUGUUGUCCGUGAUCGUCUUCACCUUCAUCGACCGGUCACGCUUCGAGGGUGAUUCCAACAUGCCAGGAGGGGGGCGCAAAGGAGGAGGAAGAAAGAGGCCCUCGAAGAAAGUUAGGGGCAUGUCGACCAUUCUCUCGAAGGCUCCACUUCAGGCUCCACUUCCCUCAGACUCCACUCCAGGCUCCACACGGUCUCCUAGUCCUCCACCUCUGAAGCGUCAGAGGGCUAGACGGCCAUCUACUCCUCCCCCAGUCGAGGAGCAGGUGGAGGAGGAGGAGGACGAGGAGGGGGAUGAGGACGAGGA